UCCCCAAACUCCGAGGCGCUGCGGUGGAGGGGCCGGGCUGAGCGCAGGCAGGGUGGCCCGGGCCCAGGAGCCUGACGGCCUGAGUGCGGAUUUCUCAUCUGAGUAUCUGGGAAUCGAGAAUGAAUUGGAAGAAAACCGAGGCGCUGCCCUGGCCAGGUUGCUGCCCCGCACCCUUCCGGAGCACCGAAGUCCUGCCCGGCAACGGGACUUGGAGCUGCCGCAGAGUCAGCCUGAGCCCGAGGCAGGGGUCGCGCCCGCGAUGCGGGGUCUCUGCGCCGCCCCGCGAGGCUCCUGGCCGUGCCCUCCCUGCCCUUUGUUGUGUAAUGAGACCUGUGGCGGCUCCACUGAGACCCACACGUGCAACUCCGCGCCUCCGCGUUAAAGGAGGUGAAACGCAGCAGCCCUGAGAAACCCCGAGACCCCGGUGUCCUAGCAGAGGCGCCCCGGAUGGGGAGGGGCGCGGGGCCGGCGCCACCCCAGAGGAAAAGCCCAGCGGAGCCGGGUUGGGCAGGAGCUGGCGGCGGCGGUGCGCUGGGCCUUCUGCCUUGGAUCCUCCGCGGUCGGCACCGCUUCCCUGCUCAGAUUCGAACCCAGAUUCGGCUCCCAAGGCUCCCACGACUCCAGGGUGCCCAGUCUUGCAGCCAGCUCGCCGCCCGAGCCCCGGAUGGAGGAAGCGCUCACUGGCCGCUACCUCCGCUGUUUCUGGCACCAGGCUUUCCUGGGAGAUUGGAAAUGCCCCAGGUGGGAUCCAGACCGCCAGCGCUCACCCCACCCCCAAUACGUGGGCCACUGAGUCAGGCCAGGAUGAGGCUCUUGCUCCCUGGGCAUGUUCUCCUGCCCCACACUUGGCCUAGGAAACCUUCCUGUGCCC
rnacentral:lncRNA from 1 species